UGAGGAAUAUUGCACAAUGGGCGCAAGCCUGAUGCAGCAACGCCGCGUGCGGGACGAAGGCCUUCGGGUCGUAAACCGCUUUUCUGGGGAAAGAGCAAGGACGGUACCUCAGGAAUAAGUCUCGGCUAACUACGUGCCAGCAGCCGCGGUAAAACGUAGGAGGCGAGCGUUAUCCGGAUUUACUGGGCGUAAAGCGCACGCAGGCGGCUCUGCGAGUCGGACGUGAAAGCUCCCGGCUUAACCGGGAGAGGCCGUUCGAUACUGCGGGGCUUGAGGUAGGGAGAGGAAUGCGGAAUUCCCGGUGUAGUGGUGGAAUGCGUAGAUAUCGGGAGGAACACCUGUGGCGAAAGCGGCAUUCUGGCCCUCACCUGACGCUGAGGUGCGAAAGCGUGGGUAGCAAACA
rnacentral:rRNA from 1 species